rnacentral:rRNA from 1 species
ACAUAGGGGCCGGGAGGACAACCCGGGGAACUGAAACAUCUAAGUACCCGGAGGAGAGGAAAUCAAUCUCGAGACUCCCCGAGUAGCGGCGAGCGAAAGGGGACCGAUGGCCAAACCGUCGAGCGGGCAUACCCGGCAGGGGUUCCGCCGACGGGGUUGCAGGGCCGCGCAUCCGGGGGCUGCCGCCCCCGGGCGCAGGUCCGGCUGGGGAGCGGAACGGCAUGGGAGGGCCGGCCGCAGCGGGUGACAGCCCCGUACGCGAACCCAGACCGGACGGCGCGACGCGGUCCCUGAGUAGGGCCGGGCACGUGAAACCCGGUCCGAACCUGGGUGGACCACCAUCCAAGCCUGAGUACUACCCUGUGACCGAUAGCGCACCAGUACCGUGAGGGAAAGGUGAAAAGCACCCCGGGAGGGGAGUGAAACAGUACCUGAAACCGUGCGCCCACGAGCAGUCGGAGCACCUUUAUGGUGUGACGGCGUGCCUUUUGUAGAAUGAGCCAGCGAGUCGCUGGCGCGGGGCGAGGUUAACCGAAAGGGAGCCGGAGCGAAAGCGAGCCUUAACAGGGCGACUUGAGUCCCGCGCCGCGGACGCGAAGCCGGGUGAGCUAUCCGUGGGCAGGCUGAAGCGGGGGUAAGACCCCGUGGAGGGCCGAACGCACGUCGGUUGAAAACGGCGGCGAUGACCUGCGGAUAGGGGUGAAAGGCCAAUCAAACCCGGAGAUAUCUCGUUCUCCCCGAAAUAGCUUUAGGGCUAGCGUCGCGCGUUCACCGCCGGAGGUAGAGCACCGGAUGGACGAGGGGGCUUCGCCGCCUACCGAAUCCAACCGAACUCCGAAUGCCGGCGGCCCAGAGCGCGGCAGUCAGAGCAUGUGGGCUAAGCUGUGUGCUCGAGAGGGAAACAGCCCGGACCGCCCGCUAAGGUCCCCAAGUUCCAGCCGAGUGGCAAAGGAUGUGCGUCCGCCCAGACAACCAGGAUGUUGGCUUAGAAGCAGCCAUCCAUUCAAAGAGUGCGUAACAGCUCACUGGUCGAGUGGACAUGCGCCGACAAUACACGGGGCUAAGCUGGACACCGAAGCGGCGGGAUUUUAAUUCAUUAGAAUCGGUAGGGGAGCUUCCCAUGGGCGGAGAAGCCGGAGGGCGACCGACGGUGGAGCGCAUGGGAGUGAGAAUGCUGGCAUGAGUAGCGAGAGACGAGAGAGUAACUCGUCCGCCGUGAACCCGAGGUUUCCUGGGCAAGGCUAAUCCUCCCAGGGUCAGUCGGGGGCUAAGGCGAGGCCGGGAGGCGUAGCCGACGCGCAGCAGGCAGACAUUCCUGCACCGCGCACGCGGCGCUACGACCGACGGGGCGACGGAUGGGGGUGGCUCGGCGGGGUUCUGGACGUCCCCGUGAUGGAGCGCGGCCCGCGGACCAGGGAAAUCCGGUCCGCACGAGGGCGAGGCUCCGGACGAAGCGAUCAAGCGAAGCGAGUGAGCCCGAGGUCCCUAGAAAAACCCCUAGGCAGGCGCGUGCGCGCCCGUACCGCAAACCGACACAGGUGGGUGGGUAGAACAUACCGAGGCGAUCGGGUCAACCAUGGUCAAGGAACUCGGCACAAUGGCCCCGUAACUUCGGGAGAAGGGGUGCCCGCGCGUACGUGAACCGGCUCGCCCGGGGAGCGGAGGCGGGCCGCAGUGGAGAGGCCCAAGCGACUGUUUACCAAAAACACAGGACUCUGCAGAAGCCGCAAGGCGACGUAUAGGGUCUGACGCCUGCCCGGUGCCGGAAGGUCACGCGGAGGAGUUAGCGCAUCGCGCGAAGCCCCGAAGCCAAGCCCCGGUAAACGGCGGCCGUAACUAUAACGGUCCUAAGGUAGCGAAAUUCCUUGUCGGGUAAGUUCCGACCUGC